GAAGGAAAAGGAUCAAUGGAAGGCUCUAACUUUAUAGAAGCUGUAUACUUAACAGAACCCAAGCAACCUUUCCUCUUGUGUGCAUUUGUAAAAUGAAAAGAAAAUAGCUACAGCUUGUGGUAGUUAGUCAAUUGAAUCCUCUAACCUCUAGGUAACAUGUGGUGGAGGGGAAAAUCUUGCGCUCUUUUGUCUCACUGUAGGGAUUGGUCGGGGUCAUUGACAAGGGCAUUGUUCAUCUGGUCAAGGAAUGAGUCAAUGGAGUGGUGUCGGCAUCCAGGUCGCAUCCAGGUCACAGUGGAGUGCAUGCCGCUCGAGACGGAUGAUGUGGCACUACCAUCCUGAGCACAGUGCAGUGUGCGUUGCUGAGAUGGACCGAUGCAGUGGAGUGUGGUCGUCGUCACUCCACCUCUCAUGAUCCUCUCCCUACUGGUUGGUAUGGCUGCACUUAAUGGUAAAAACCUUUCAUCAAAAGGAAAUGGCAAGAAAAUGGUUUCUUUUGAUUGGUUGAUUUAUUCAUCCAUACAUCAUUUAGUUUUUCAUGAGAUUGGAGUCUUAAAACUCAAUAUUGCAGAUCUUGGAAUUCUCUUAGCUGCAAAUUAACAUCCAUGUAUUUUGACCUGAUGAUGGUUCUUACUGAACAUCUUUUCUGCAUUUUUCAGGUCCUGGACAGAUAAGGAUGAGAUAAUGCGAGGUGUGUAUUUUAGUUUACAAGGAGAAAGA